GGUUAAGCGACUAAGCGUACACGGUGGAUGCCCUGGCAGUCAGAGGCGAUGAAGGACGUGCUAAUCUGCGAAAAGCGUCGGUAAGGUGAUAUGAACCGUUAUAACCGGCGAUGUCCGAAUGGGGAAACCCAGUGUGAUUCGUCACACUAUCGUUAACUGAAUACAUAGGUUAACGAGGCGAACCGGGGGAACUGAAACAUCUAAGUACCCCGAGGAAAAGAAAUCAACCGAGAUUCCCCCAGUAGCGGCGAGCGAACGGGGAGCAGCCCAGAGUCUGAAUCAGCUUGUGUGUUAGUGGAACGGUCUGGAAAGUCCGACGGUACAGGGUGAUAGUCCCGUACACCAAAAUGCACAGGUUGUGAACUCGAAGAGUAGGGCGGGACACGUGGUAUCCUGUCUGAAUAUGGGGGGACCAUCCUCCAAGGCUAAAUACUCCUGACUGACCGAUAGUGAACCAGUACCGUGAGGGAAAGGCGAAAAGAACCCCGGCGAGGGGAGUGAAAAAGAACCUGAAACCGUGUACGUACAAGCAGUGGGAGCACCUUCGGGUGUGACUGCGUACCUUUUGUAUAAUGGGUCAGCGACUUAUAUUCUGUAGCAAGGUUAACCGUAUAGGGGAGCCGCAGGGAAACCGAGUCUUAACUGGGCGUUAAGUUGCAGGGUAUAGACCCGAAACCCGGUGAUCUAGCCAUGGGCAGGUUGAAGGUUGGGUAACACUAACUGGAGGACCGAACCGACUAAUGUUGAAAAAUUAGCGGAUGACUUGUGGCUGGGGGUGAAAGGCCAAUCAAACCGGGAGAUAGCUGGUUCUCCCCGAAAGCUAUUUAGGUAGCGCCUCGUGAACUCAUCUUCGGGGGUAGAGCACUGUUUCGGCUAGGGGGUCAUCCCGACUUACCAACCCGAUGCAAACUACGAAUACCGAAGAAUGUUAUCACGGGAGACACACGGCGGGUGCUAACGUCCGUCGUGAAGAGGGAAACAACCCAGACCGCCAGCUAAGGUCCCAAAGUCAUGGUUAAGUGGGAAACGAUGUGGGAAGGCACAGACAGCCAGGAUGUUGGCUUAGAAGCAGCCAUCAUUUAAAGAAAGCGUAAUAGCUCACUGGUCGAGUCGGCCUGCGCGGAAGAUGUAACGGGGCUAAACCAUGCACCGAAGCUGCGGCAGCGACACUAUGUGUUGUUGGGUAGGGGAGCGUUCUGUAAGCCUGCGAAGGUGACCUGUGAGGGUUGCUGGAGGUAUCAGAAGUGCGAAUGCUGACAUAAGUAACGAUAAAGCGGGUGAAAAGCCCGCUCGCCGGAAGACCAAGGGUUCCUGUCCAACGUUAAUCGGGGCAGGGUGAGUCGACCCCUAAGGCGAGGCCGAAAGGCGUAGUCGAUGGGAAACAGGUUAAUAUUCCUGUACUUGGUGUUACUGCGAAGGGGGGACGGAGAAGGCUAUGUUAGCCGGGCGACGGUUGUCCCGGUUUAAGCAUGUAGGCUGAUUAUCCAGGCAAAUCCGGAUAAUCAAGGCUGAGGUGUGAUGACGAGGCACUACGGUGCUGAAGUAACAAAUGCCCUGCUUCCAGGAAAAGCCUCUAAGCAUCAGGUAACAUCAAAUCGUACCCCAAACCGACACAGGUGGUCAGGUAGAGAAUACCAAGGCGCUUGAGAGAACUCGGGUGAAGGAACUAGGCAAAAUGGUGCCGUAACUUCGGGAGAAGGCACGCUGGUGUGUAGGUGAAGUCCCUGCGGAUGGAGCUGAGACCAGUCGAAGAUACCAGCUGGCUGCAACUGUUUAUUAAAAACACAGCACUGUGCAAACACGAAAGUGGACGUAUACGGUGUGACGCCUGCCCGGUGCCGGAAGGUUAAUUGAUGGGGUUAUCCGUAAGGAGAAGCUCUUGAUCGAAGCCCCGGUAAACGGCGGCCGUAACUAUAACGGUCCUAAGGUAGCGAAAUUCCUUGUCGGGUAAGUUCCGACCUGCACGAAUGGCGUAAUGAUGGCCAGGCUGUCUCCACCCGAGACUCAGUGAAAUUGAACUCGCUGUGAAGAUGCAGUGUACCCGCGGCAAGACGGAAAGACCCCGUGAACCUUUACUAUAGCUUGACACUGAACAUUGAGCCUUGAUGUGUAGGAUAGGUGGGAGGCUUUGAAGCGUGGACGCCAGUCUGCGUGGAGCCAACCUUGAAAUACCACCCUUUAAUGUUUGAUGUUCUAACGUUGGCCCCUUACCGGGGUUGCGGACAGUGUCUGGUGGGUAGUUUGACUGGGGCGGUCUCCUCCCAAAGCGUAACGGAGGAGCACGAAGGUUAGCUAAUCCUGGUCGGACAUCAGGAGGUUAGUGCAAUGGCAUAAGCUAGCUUGACUGCGAGCGUGACGGCGCGAGCAGGUGCGAAAGCAGGUCAUAGUGAUCCGGUGGUUCUGAAUGGAAGGGCCAUCGCUCAACGGAUAAAAGGUACUCCGGGGAUAACAGGCUGAUACCGCCCAAGAGUUCAUAUCGACGGCGGUGUUUGGCACCUCGAUGUCGGCUCAUCACAUCCUGGGGCUGAAGUAGGUCCCAAGGGUAUGGCUGUUCGCCAUUUAAAGUGGUACGCGAGCUGGGUUUAGAACGUCGUGAGACAGUUCGGUCCCUAUCUGCCGUGGGCGCUGGAGAAUUGAGGGGGGCUGCUCCUAGUACGAGAGGACCGGAGUGGACGCAUCACUGGUGUUCGGGUUGUCAUGCCAAUGGCACUGCCCGGUAGCUAAAUGCGGAAGAGAUAAGUGCUGAAAGCAUCUAAGCACGAAACUUGCCCCGAGAUGAGUUCUCCCUGAGACUUUAAGUCUCCUGAAGGAACGUUGAAGACGACGACGUUGAUAGGCCGGGUGUGUAAGCGCAGCGAUGCGUUGAGCUAACCGGUACUAAUGAACCGUGAGGCUUAACCUU
rnacentral:rRNA from 2 species